GAUGAACGCUGGCGGCGUGCCUAAUACAUGCAAGUCGAGCGAACAGACGAGGAGCUUGCUCCUCUGACGUUAGCGGCGGACGGGUGAGUAACACGUGGAUAACCUACCUAUAAGACUGGGAUAACUUCGGGAAACCGGAUCUAAUACCGGAUAAUAUAUUGAACCGCAUGGUUCAAUAGUGAAAGACGGUUUUGCUGUCACUUAUAGAUGGAUCCGCGCCGCAUUAGCUAGUUGGUAAGGUAACGGCUUACCAAGGCGACGAUGCGUAGCCGACCUGAGAGGGUGAUCGGCCACACUGGAACUGAGACACGGUCCAGACUCCUACGGGAGGCGGCAGUAGGGAAUCUUCCGCAAUGGGCGAAAGCCUGACGGAGCAACGCCGCGUGAGUGAUGAAGGUCUUCGGAUCGUAAAACUCUGUUAUUAGGGAAGAACAAAUGUGUAAGUAACUAUGCACGUCUUGACGGUACCUAAUCAGAAAGCCACGGCUAACUACGUG
rnacentral:rRNA from 1 species